CCCUGGUGGUGGAAUUGGUAGACACAAGGGAUUUAAAAUCCCUCGGCGUUCGCGCUGUGCCGGUUCAAGUCCGGCCCGGGG
rnacentral:tRNA from 1 species